UACAGAGGUCUCGAGCGUUAGGCGGAAUCACUGGGCGUAAAGCGCGUGUAGGCGGGUCUUUAAGUCAGGGGUGAAAUGCCAAGGCUCAACCUUGGAACUGCCUUUGAUACUGGAGACCUUGAGUCCGGGAGAGGUGAGUGGAAUUGCGAGUGUAGAGGUGAAAUUCGUAGAUAUUCGCAAGAACACCAGUGGCGAAGGCGGCUCACUGGCCCGGAACUGACGCUGAGACGCGAAAGCGUGGGGAGCAAACAGG
rnacentral:rRNA from 1 species